rnacentral:lncRNA from 1 species
UGCCGAGUAGCUUUAGGACAAGUGGGAGUUGUUCAAAAAUAUAUUCCAAAAGUCAAUCGUCAACUUGUUGACGGUUGAGCAACCUUAUAUUGUAAUUGAUUUGUAAAUAAAUUUUUGAUAUUUUCAUCAUAAGUUUUCAUCUUCUAAUGAACUCCGUUGUUGUAAUUAAGUCCUUAGGACUAUUUAGAUUCAAUAAAAAGAAGAUU